GGUGGAUGCCUUGGCGAUUACAGGCGAUGAAGGACGUGAUAAUCUGCGAAAAGCUUCGGGGAGCUGAUAAAUAAGCUUUGAUCCGGAGAUGUCCGAAUGGGGAAACCCACCCGCAAGGGUAACCGCUCCUGAAUAUAUAGGGAGAUGGUGGCAAACCGAGUGAACUGAAACAUCUAAGUAGCUCGAGGAAAAUAAAUCAACCGAGAUUCCGUAAGUAGUGGCGAGCGAACGCGGAACAGCCUGUUAUUUUUAGCACAUGCGAUAGUAGAACGGAAUGGAAAGU
rnacentral:rRNA from 1 species